AAAUGUUACAGCUCUUUUAGAAUCUGUCCAGCAGGUUUUCCCAUUUUUACUAAAAACUGAU
rnacentral:snRNA from 1 species